UCUGCCCUGGCUCCAAAUCCUUCCCUCUCUCCCUCACUCUGAUGAGUCUCCCUCUUUGCUGCCACUCCCCCUACCUUGUGAUCCUUCAUCUCUCUGUACAUCUAUCUAGCCUUUCUCUACAUUUCUCCGGUUGCUUUUCUCCUCCUGCUUUCUUAGGUUUUUUUUUUUUUUUUUCACUUCUGCCAUCUCUUGGCAUAUCCCUCACCAAUCCUCUAUUUUGCCAUCUGUUAUGGGCCUUUCUUAUUCUUCUUUUCUCUGCCUCAGGUUUUCUACUGCUCUCUGUCUCCUGAUUCCUUUGGCCCACACAAUCGCAACACGGUUUGGAGUAAGACGCCUGCAUCCCGGAGGAGCGCAUUUUCCACGCCCUGGAGCUCCGCAGGCAAGAAUACCCCGUGCCGCAGGACAGGCCCCUGGGACCUCCCCAGUGCAGCAGAAAGACCGGGGACGAGACCAGCCUCAGGACGACUUUAAACCCAAAAGGAAGCGACCCUCGGGCUCUCACGGGGAUGUCUCAAUUUGCUCUGGGCAAAGGAAGACGCCGGAGAAUUUCCAGGUCUGUGGGGACCCCACGUCCCAGGGACAGAAGCCCUGGGAACCUAGUUAGCGCAGACUUAAUACAACACAGAGCAAAACUCACCGCGGCGAUAUGACCUACACUCCACCCGAUCCGCUUCCGGGUUUGCGUUAAUCUGCGCGCGCAGGACAAAAGCCAGGCCUGGGCGGGAAGUGGGAGGUAGGCGGGGCCUGGGCGAGGUAGGGGCGGGGCGCGAGGCGGAGAGACCUUGCCUUUUAGAACCGGCAGAGGGCAGGGCCGGGGCGGGAUCUGCGCGUCUCUCAGCCUCGCUCCCAGCGUCUCUGUUUUCAGGUUUUGGAGGCGAGAGCGCCAGAAAGUCUGAGGCAUGAUACAAAAGCCCUGUUGAGAGAAGAGAGAGACCCUCUGACAUUGUUUUAUAUUGUUUUAUAGUCAGUAAAAACAACAGGAAGUAAAACCAAAGACAGGCAGCCCCGCGCCAGGCCCGAAACCAGGCCUGGAUCCGCCUGGCCUAAACCCAGUAGUUAAAAAUCAACUUAUGAUUUAGAAGCUGAUGUUAGGCAUAGAUUCCAGACAUUGUAUAGAAGAACACGGUGAAACUCCUGCCCUGUUCUCUCUCUCCCUGAUCACCGGUGCAUGCAGCCCCUGUCACGUAUCCCUUGCUUGCUCAAUCAGUCACUAUCCUUUCAUCUGAAAUCUUUAGUGUUGUGAGCCCUUAAAAGGGACAGAAAUUGUGCACUCGGGGAGCUUGGAUUUUAAGGCAGUAGCUUGCCAAUGCUCCCAGCUGAAUAAAGCCCUUCCUUCUACAA